UAAAGUGGCGUACGGGUGAGUAACACGUGGAUAAUCUGCCUUUUAGUGGGGAAUACCGUUGGGAAACCGACGACAAUACCGCAUAAGCUCGAGAGAGGAAAGCAGCAAUGCGCUGAAAGAGGAGUCCGCGGUCGAUUAGUUAGUUGGCAGGGUAAAAGCCUACCAAGACUGUGAUCGAUAGCCGGCCUGAGAGGGCACACGGCCACACUGGCACUGAAACACGGGCCAG
rnacentral:rRNA from 1 species